CGGCAUGCCUUACACAUGCAAGUCGAACGGCAGCGACGGGAGCAAUCCUGGUGGCGAGUGGGCGAAACGGGUGAGUAAUAUAUCGGAACGUGCCCAGUCGUGGGGGAUAACGUAGCGAAAGUUACGCUAAUACCGCAUACGAUCUAUGGAUGAAAGCGGGGGAUCGCAAGACCUCGCGCGAUUGGAGCGGCCGAUAUCAGAUUAGGUAGUUGGUGAGGUAAAGGCUCACCAAGCCGACGAUCUGUAUCUGGUCUGAGAGGACGACCAGCCACACUGGGACUGAGACACGGCCCAGACUCCUACGGGAGGCAGCAGUGGGGAAUUUUGGACAAUGGGCGCAAGCCUGAUCCAGCAAUGCCGCGUGCAGGAUGAAGGCCUUCGGGUUGUAAACUGCUUUGUACGGAACGAAACGGUGAGCUCUAAUACAGUUUGCUAAUGACGGUACCGUAAGAAUAAGCACCGGCUAACUACGUG
rnacentral:rRNA from 1 species